rnacentral:lncRNA from 1 species
AAUGUAAUUGAACAAUCUGCAACCAAGACCCUGAGUUAGUGGCCAAUUUAGCCAUGUACAAAGCAUGCAAUUGUCAUCUGGGUGAAUAUUUUGAGAAUGCAUUUGCUAAAUAUGUUUGAAUUUUUAGAUGCACAGAUUUCCCCCACUUUCCAAAUGGCACGUCAGACAGUAAAAGAUUAUGCAAAAGAUGGAUACCAACUUGUCCUCAUGGUAGCCAAGAAUCUCAUAAUGUCCUCAUGGUAGCCAAGAAUCCCAUUAUGUCCUCAUGGUUGCCAAGAAUCCCAAUAUUGUGAAAACCAGUGAACCACGAUGAUUCAAACCACCACCGUUUAGGAUUGGCACAACCAAGGUUGAUGACAAAAUAUGCUCCACGUCAGGCAUCACCACUGACAAAAGUAUGAAAGCAAGAAAAAGGGAAGAGUUUCAUUCAGAAACUGAAUUUCUGGGCAGAGGCACAUGACUCCAUCAGUGGCAUGAAAGGCUCCAAGCAAAGUUGAAAGGAACUCCAAAGCACAGUAGACAAGAUCAACCAUUACGGAGGGUGUCCCAUAUGUUUAUAUGGCAUAAAUACGCAAAGAGGGCAUAUAAUAGUCCAAAAUGAUGUAGAUGCAUCGAUAGUGCAGCUAUCUCUAAGUAGUCCAUUCUGCAUUUUUUCACCUUGUUUCAGCAAUGGCAGAUUUCAGCUGAUGGCUACUUGAAACUGGUGCUUUAAAGGAGCAACCAACUUCUACUUUCUAUGCCCUCUUUGUUAGGUCGAAAACAUUUGUGGUAUAUCAUCUGUUCCUACCAUCAGGUAACAAAAGUAUUAAAAGAGUCCAUGCACAAAGUGAUGAUAUUUUUAGCUGCUAUAAAUUCUAAAAACGAAAAUUAUACAGUCAGACGAGUAGAUGCAUAGGUGAAAUUUGUAAAGAUAGGAUUGCAAACCUGUUGGUAGCAUCAAGGACCUGAAGCAUAUGUUUGUUGCUUGUGUGUUCAAGUUUGCUGCAGCAAGUCACCUACUAAUACCUUUAGAAAUGUUCCAGCUACAACUCGCAGCUCGAAAUAGUUGCAGCGACUUCCCAUUCUGUACGUUCACUCAUUCAUAAGGGACGGUACAUGAAGAACAAUAAAUGUAAUGCAGGGGGUGUGCAUUCUCUGAG